UACGUAGGAGGCAAGCGUUAUCCGGAUUUAUUGGGCGUAAAGAGGGUGUAGGCGGACUUUCAAGUCGGAUGUAAAAUCUCCCGGCUUAACUGGGAGGGACCAUCCGAUACUGUUAGGCUAGAGAGCAGCAGAGGGAGGUGGAAUUCCCGGUGUAGUGGUGAAAUGCGUAGAUAUCGGGAGGAACACCAGUGGCGAAGGCGACCUCCUGGGCUGUUUCUGACGCUGAGACCCGAAGGCGUGGGGAGCAAACAGGAUUAGAUACCCCCGUA
rnacentral:rRNA from 1 species